rnacentral:rRNA from 1 species
GUGGGGAAUCUUGCGCAAUGGGCGAAAGCCUGACGCAGCCAUGCCGCGUGAAUGAUGAAGGUCUUAGGAUUGUAAAAUUCUUUCACCAGGGACGAUAAUGACGGUACCCGGAGAAGAAGCUCCGGCUAACUUCGUGCCAGCAGCCGCGGUAAUACGAAGGGGGCUAGCGUUGCUCGGAAUUACUGGGCGUAAAGGGCGCGUAGGCGGACAGCUUAGUCAGAGGUGAAAGCCCAGGGCUCAACCUUGGAAUUGCCUUUGAUACUGGCUGUCUUGAGUUUGGGAGAGGUGAGUGGAACUCCGAGUGUAGAGGUGAAAUUCGUAGAUAUUCGGAAGAACACCAGUGGCGAAGGCGACUCACUGGCCCAAUACUGACGCUGAGGCGCGAAAGCGUGGGGAGCAAACAGGAUUAGAUACCCUGGUAGUCC